GAUUAUUUUCCCAAGGUCCAUGGGUUUGCUAUUUAUUUUUUCUUCUUAGACAUAUUGACAACAAACAUUAACUCAUCAGGAACAAACCAGAGAUACUGAAGUAGGAAUGAAACACAAAUCUUUGCUUCCACUUGCAGCAACAGAGUGUCUGCUUUCUUUUUGUCAUCUUGUGCUGUAAAAGUGGCUUCAGUCUCCUUCAGUCUACAGAUUCCUAUAGAAUUCUGACUGGAUCUUUUAUGAAGAAUUUAAGCCAACUGACAGGAGCAUGAGAAGUCAAUAGUUAACCAUGAACCAUAAGAAAUGUUUCAGGGAUGUUUAUCAAAGAUGCCUCUCUACACUAGGUGGAAAGAUGAAUGCAAAGGAACCAUAUAUGAUGAUUUAGAGCUCCUGUGUGAUGACUUAUACUGCCCUUAUUCUGUUCAGGUAAUUCAGGGAUUAAGGAAUACCACUGGAUUCACUGGCCAUAUUAAAAUAGAAGCAAUGGAUUCCCAAUCACUGAAACUUGUAAAAUACAUAAACUUGAAGAAAAGGCCACAGGUAACAAUCAACCACAAAGAUAUUUAUGUGCCAAUGUCUAUAUAAUUCAUUGCCACAGGGAAUGUUAUAGUACUGUAGCUAUAUAUUCUCUAAAGUAUUGUCUUAAUGUCAAUGAACUUUUCCCUCUGCUUUGAUUAGAGAGAUGCUUCUGCCACCAGCUGAACAUUUUUUUGCUAACAAGCUGAUGUUUUUCUCUUCUGUUUACAGAAUGAUCAGUUGUAAACAUUGAUGAUAAAACAGUGAGCUUUACAUCGCAGUUCCACUGCAAAAAGACGUGUCUGCACAAAGAAAGCUUGAUAAUAUGUUUAUUUUUUUAAUCUAUGAAUGAAUUAUCACUUUUUCUCUGA